rnacentral:rRNA from 1 species
GAUGAACGCUGGCGGCGUGCUUAACACAUGCAAGUCGAACGGAAAGGCCCAAGCUUGCUUGGGUACUCGAGUGGCGAACGGGUGAGUAACACGUGGGUGAUCUGCCCUGCACUUCGGGAUAAGCCUGGGAAACUGGGUCUAAUACCGGAUAGGACGAUGGUUUGGAUGCCAUUGUGGAAAGUUUUUUCGGUGUGGGAUGAGCUCGCGGCCUAUCAGCUUGUUGGUGGGGUAUUGGCCUACCAAGGCGUCGACGGGUAGCCGGCCUGAGAGGGUGUACGGCCACAUUGGGACUGUGAGACGGCCCAGACUCCUACGGGAGGCAGCAGUGGGGAAUAUUGCACAAUGGGCGCAAGCCUGAUGCAGCGACGCCGCGGGGGGGAUGACAGCCUUCGGGUUGUAAACUCCUUUCGCUAGGGACGAAGCGUUUUUGUGACGGUACCUGGAGAAGAAGCACCGGCUAACUACGUG